UGCCCUUAGAGUUUGAUCCUGGCUCAGAUUGAACGCUGGCGGCAUGCCUAACACAUGCAAGUCGCACGGGGGUAACGAUACUCUAGUGGCGGACGGGUGAGUAAAGCAUCGGAACGUGCCCUGGAGUGGGGGAUAACGUAGCGAAAGUUACGCUAAUACCGCAUAUUCUGUGAGCAGGAAAGCAGGGGAUCGCAAGACCUUGCGCUCUGGGAGCGGCCGAUGUCGGAUUAGCUAGUUGGUGGGGUAAAGGCCUACCAAGGCGACGAUCCGUAGCGGGUCUGAGAGGAUGAUCCCCCACACUGGGACUGAGACACGGCCCAGACUCCUACGGGAGGCAGCAGUGAGGGAUAUUGCGCAAUGGGGGAAACCCUGACGCAGCGACGCCGCGUGGGUGAUGAAGGUCUUCGGAUUGUAAAACCCUUUUGCCACUGACGAGGAAGGACGGUAGGUGGCGAAUAAGCCUCGGCUAACUACGUGCCAGCAGCCGCGGUAAUAAGGGC
rnacentral:rRNA from 1 species